UGAUACCAAUUUAACAUCUCAUCUAAUUUCAUUUGAUCUCGGAAGCUAAGUCAGGUCAGGCCUGGUUAGUCCUGGGAUGGGAGACCACUGGAAUACCCUGCCUUUGUAUGAA
rnacentral:rRNA from 1 species